rnacentral:tRNA from 4 species
GGACCCGUAGUGUAGCCCGGAUAACACGUCUGCUUGUCGAGCAGAAAAUCGUGGGUUCAAAUCCCAUCGGGUCCG